rnacentral:rRNA from 1 species
UACGUAGGCAGCACGCGUUGUUCGGAGUUCCUGGGCGUCAAGGGUGCGUCGGCGGGUGUUUAAGUUUGGUGUGAAAUCUCCCGGCUCAACUGGGAGGGUGCGCCGAAUACUGAAUGACUAGAGUGCGGGAGAGGAGAGUGGAAUUCCUGGUGUAGCGGUGAAAUGCGUAGAUAUCAGGAGGAACACCGGUGGUGUAGACGGCUCUCUGGACCGUAACUGACGCUGAGGCACGAAAGCGUGGGUAGCAAACAGG